rnacentral:rRNA from 1 species
AGCAGCCGCGGUAAUUCCAGCUCCAAUAGCGUAUAUUAAAGUUGUUGCCGUUAAAAAGCUCGUAGUUGAACCUUGGGCCUGGCUGACCUGUCCUCCUAAUCGAGCGCACGGGCUCGGCCGGGCCUUUCCUUCUGGAGAACCCGGUGCCCUUUAUUGGGCGCCGCGGGGAAUCAGGACUUUUACCUUGAAUAAAUUAGAUCGCUUAAAGAAGGCUCUUGCUUGAAUAUUCUAGCAUGGUAUAAUAGAAUAGGACGUGUGGUUCUAUUUUGUUGGUUUCUAGGACCGCCGUAAUGAUUAAUAGGGACAGUCGGGGGCAUCAGUAUUCAAUUGUCAGAGGUGAAAUUCUUGGAUUUAUUGAAGACUAACUACUGCGAAAGCAUUUGCCAAGGAUGUUUUCAUUAAUCAGGAACGAAAGUUAGGGGAUCGAAGACGAUCAGAUACCGUCGUAGUCUUAACCAUAAACUAUGCCGACUAGGGAUCGGACGGGAUUCUAUGAUGACCCG